GAUGAACGCUGGCGGCGUGCUUAACACAUGCAAGUCGAACGGAAAGGCCUCUGCUUGCAGGGGUACUCGAGUGGCGAACGGGUGAGUAACACGUGGGUGAUCUGCCCUGCACUUCGGGAUAAGCCUGGGAAACUGGGUCUAAUACCGGAUAGGACAAUGGGUUGGAUGCUGUUGUGGAAAGUGUUUCGGUGUGGGGUGAGGUCGCGGCCUAUCAGCUUGUUGGUGGGGUAAUGGCCUACCAAGGCGUCGACGGGUAGCCGGCCUGAGAGGGUGUACGGCCACAUUGGGGCUGAGAGACGGCGCAGACUCCUCCGCGAGGCAGCAGUGGGGAAUAUUGUACAAUGGGCGCAAGCGUGAUGCAGCGACGCCGCGUGGGGGGUGACGGCCUUCGGGUUGUAAACUCCUCUCGCUAGGGACGAAGCGUUUUUGUGACGGUACCUGGAGAAGAAGCACCGGCUAACUACGUG
rnacentral:rRNA from 1 species